rnacentral:rRNA from 1 species
GAUGAACGCUGGCGGCGUGCCUAAUACAUGCAAGUCGAGCGAACAGACGAGGAGCUUGCUCCUUUGACGUUAGCGGCGGACGGGUGAGUAACACGUGGAUAACCUACCUAUAAGACUGGGAUAACUUCGGGAAACCGGAGCUAAUACCGGAUAACAUGUUGAACCGCAUGGUUCAACAGUGAAAGACGGUCUUGCUGUCACUUAUAGAUGGAUCCGCGCCGCAUUAGCUAGUUGGUAAGGUAACGGCUUACCAAGGCAACGAUGCGUAGCCAACGGGUGAGGGGGUUCGCCCACUGAGGAGGUGACAGAGGCCCCGGGCACAGACGUGAGGCAGAGAUAGGGAAGGUACGGAAAGGGGCGGAAGCCUGACGGAGCAACGGCGGCGGGGUGAAGAAGGUCUGCGCUCUGGAAAACUGUCUUCUGUGGGAAGAACAAAUGUGUAAGUAACGAAGCGCGGUUGACGGUAACCUAUAAAGAAGCACCGGCUAACUCCGUG